rnacentral:rRNA from 1 species
UGGGGAAUAUUGCACAAUGGGCGCAAGCCUGAUGCAGCCAUGCCGCGUGUGUGAAGAAGGCCUUCGGGUUGUAAAGCACUUUCAGCGGGGAGGAAGGCGAUAAGGUUAAUAACCUUGUCGAUUGACGUUACCCGCAGAAGAAGCACCGGCUAACUCCGUGCCAGCAGCUGCGGUAAUACGGAGGGUGCAAGCGUUAAUCGGAAUUACUGGGCGUAAAGCGCACGCAGGCGGUCUGUCAAGUCGGAUGUGAAAUCCCCGGGCUCAACCUGGGAACUGCAUUCGAAACUGGCAGGCUAGAGUCUUGUAGAGGGGGGUAGAAUUCCAGGUGUAGCGGUGAAAUGCGUAGAGAUCUGGAGGAAUACCGGUUGCGUAGGCGGCCCCCUGGACAAAGACUGACGCUCAGGUGCGAAAGCGUGGGGAGCAAACAGG